rnacentral:rRNA from 1 species
UACGUAGGGUGCAAGCGUUGUCCGGAAUUAUUGGGCGUAAAGAACUCGUAGGCGGUCUGUCGCGUCGGCUGUGAAAUCCCGAGGCUCAACCUCGGGUCUGCAGUCGAUACGGGCAAACUAGAGUAUUGCAGGGGAGACUGGAAUUCCUGGUGUAGCGGUGAAAUGCGCAGAUAUCAGGAGGAACACCGGUGGCGAAGGCGGGUCUCUGGGCAAUAACUGACGCUGAGGAGCGAAAGCGUGGGGAGCGAACAGG